GUCUUCAAACGCACCAUGCUAUCCACACACGGUGAGGAGAAUUAUCUCAACUGUUUUUAAGUUUUAAAGUGCCAGCGAACAGAAAGAACAAACCAAAUCACUUUCUUUUCAAGGAUAUCUGAGAAAUCUGGCCACACCUCAUUUUUAAAAGCAUAACAUGUGAGUGACCAGGACAGAAUUCUUUCCCUGGAUUCCCUGAGAGAAUGUCUCACUAAAUAAUGUCUCGGCCGUGACUCAUCGGCUCAGGAUCCGACCCAGACGAGGUCUUGCUGUAUUUCCCAUGCUGGUCCUAAACUCCUGGCCUCAAGUGAUCCUCCUGCCUCAGCCUCCCAAACUGUCGGAAUUGCAGAUGGAGCCUGAGUUUUAUCAUUAUCAAUUCGAAUACAUCAUGUCAACAAGAGGUUUACUUCAUUUUCCUGGAGAAUUCACUGAGAGUUGAAGGUCAAGGUGCUUCAAAUAUCAUGAGAGGUGGCUGGGCAAGUGGCUCACGCCUGUAAGUCCCAGCACUUUGGGAAGCUGAGGCGGACAGAUCAGCUGAGAUCAGAAGUUGGAGAUCAGCCUGGGCAACAUGGUGAAACCCCAUCUCUACUAAAAAUACGAAAAUUAGCCGGGUGUGGUGGCACAUACCUAUAACCUCAGCUAUUUGAGAAGCCAAGGCUGAGAGUUGCUUAAACCCUGGAGAAGGAGGUUGCAGUGAGCUGAGAUCAUGCCACUGUACUCCAGCAUGGGGGACAGAGUGAGACUUCAUCUCAAAAAAAAAAACAAAACAAAACUAAAAAAUCAUCAGAGGCCACCGGAUUUGUUGGAAAUGCACUAACCGUGGCCAUCCUGUGUGUUGUCACACACAUGCUUGCUGUCUGUGGAACUGCAACACUGAAAGGUGAAUUUCAGGGUCUGCAUAUACAGUUUGAUUGGAACACAGCUAUGCUCAUUCUGUGUGGAAGGUUUUGUGUGACAAUGCUAGAGGUCAGUAAUUGCAACCGAGGCUACAUGGCCUAUAAAACCUAAAGAAUUUGCUAUUUGGCUCUUUACAAAAAAUUUGCUGACCAACUACCCUAUGACAAUAAUUCAAAGACAUACACACCUCCUUAGCCUCACUGAAGCAAUGGCCAGUUUUCAGUCCUGAGUACAUACCAACCUGUAGGCUGUCUCAAAACUCACCUCCCUGCUAUUCUGCCUGGAACAUUCUUCUCUCUCCUAGCCAUUUUUCCGUGUGAUCGCGUUUAUUCUUCAGACAAUGUCACCUAAUGGGAAAAUACUUCUCUGAACACCGGUCUAAAACAGGUCCUCCCUGUUAUUUAUUUAUUUUUUGAGACAGAAUCUAUUGCCCCGGCUGGAGUGCAGUGGCGUGAUCUUGGCUCACUGCAACCUCCGCCUCCCAGGUUCCAGUGAUUCUCCUGCCUCAGCCUCCUGAGUAGCUGGGAUUACAGGCACCCAUUGUCAUGCUGGGAUAAUUUUUGUAUUUUUGGUAGUGAUGGGGUUUUACCAUGUUGACCAGGCUGGUCUUGGACUCCUGACCUCAAGUGAUCCACCAGCCUUGGCCUCCCAAAGUGCUGGUAUUAUAGGCAUAAGCCACUGCGCCUGACCCUCCCUGUUACUCUUCACGAUAGUUUCCUGCUCUUUUCCAUGACAGUCCUGCCUAUGGUUUGUAAUGAUUGAGUCUUCUUGUUUAAAGUUCUUGUCCUCUUUACUCUGUAAACUCCCUGUCAAUAGAAACUACGCAUGUCUUAUCACGAUAGGUAAAAAAUGUGGGCUUUGAAGUCAGAUGGCCUCGAUUUGAAUCCUGGCUCUGUUACUUAUAAGUCAUGGAAGCUUGGGUAAGUCACUUCACCUCUUGGCUUCUCAGUUUUCUCAUCUGUAAAAUGGAUGCAAUCAUUAACUACUGCAUUAAGUUCUGAAGGUUAAAUGAGUUGAUGCAGACAAAUCAGUAAGAACAAUACCUGCUCAUCAUAAGCACUUGAUAAGAGUUAUUAAUACUCAAAACUUUAUCUUCAAGGUCUUGUACAAAAGAGCUGAAUGAGUAUCCCUUAACAGUGCAGCAUUUUUUCUGAAUGAAGCAUUUGUGGAAUGAAGGUUUUAUCUAGAUGAAUAAAUAAAUAUCUCCCACCUUUCUUCUCUUUAAUCAUAUGCUGCCGUACUGAAACAUUACGAGCCUCUAAUUUCAUUUAGCACAUGAAAGACAAUGAUUAACCUUGAUUUACAAAACAAACUUGAAUCAGUAAUGCAAGAGUUUGAACUUUUAAAAAAAUUAAAUUCCCCCCCUCCCCCAGGAUAGUGUUAGUAUGCCAUGGCCAGAGUAAAACCUAUAAAUAUCAUGAGGCCUACAUUAAUGCCACAAUAAUGCAAAAAAUCACUCCAAGACUCAGUGGCUUAAAAUGGUAAUUAUUUAUUCUCACAUAAACAUUUGCAAGUUAGCUGGUGUUUGGAUGACCUAGAGUAGGGGGUCUGGGCUGGGCUUCAAGUUACCGGCUGUGUCCAAGUUUGCUCCAGUUGGCUUCCAUCUUCCUGGGACACAGGCAUGUGCAUCUCAAGGCGAUGUCGGAAGUGCAGGAGAGCCAGGCCCACCAUGCAAAUCCACAGUGGUUUUGCUGGCAUCAUGCUUGCCAACAUCUUACUGGCCAACAGUCACAUGACCAAGUCCAACAUCCUUAAGUCAAGGAAGGAUAUUCCUCCAAAGUGGGGAGGAGUAAAAAAUUCCUGAACACAAAUCCGAACUAUCUCAAGACCUGUACCCAAAUAAAAAUUAAAACUAACAUGUAAAGGUAUGUUUUCUUUUUUUGAGACAGAGUUUCGCUCUUGUUGCCCAGGCUGGAGUGCAAUGGCACGCUCUCAGCUCACUGCAAUCUCCCUGUUCUGGGUUUGAGCAAUUCUCCUGCCUCAGCCUCCCGAGUAGCUGGGAAUACAGGUGCCCACCACCACACCUGGCUAAAUUUUGUAUUUUCAGUAGAGACAGGGUUUCACCAUCUUGGCCAGGCUGGUCUUGAACUCCUGACCUCAUGAUCCACCCGCCUUGGCCUCCCAAAGUGCUGUGAUUACAGGCGUGGUUUUGUAUGUAUUUCAACAUACAAAAAAAUCUGUAUGUUGAAAUUUAAAUGAACUUUCCUCAAUUUUCUUGUUGUGUCAUUUGGCCAGUAGGGCAGGAGUCCCGUGUUAUCUCUGCUUUUCUGGUCCUUGAAGCAUGUGCUUCGUCUGCAUAAGGGGCAAAUCAGACCUGUUUCUGUUUCUAUCCUAGCACCCCUCACGCAGCAGAUAUUUGAUAAAGCUGGUGGAAGACAAUUGUUGAAUUCUAUAAAUAUAUGGCAAUUGCAUCAGUACAUGCUAUAUUUGUUUUACGGAAAUUUAGGGUCACUGUAGGUAUUGUGUGUUUCUACAUCAAAGCUUCAAAAACAGUUCUGGGGUGUGGAGGUGCACACAGCUUCUACUGCCAAGACACACACUCUGCAGCACUCCAGAUACGAAAUAAAACAAGAGGAUUUCUUCCUUUCCAGUUAAAGAGCAAUCUUAAAAGGCAUCCAAGAAAAGUUGGCUCUGUUUUCUGAAUUUCUAGUUGGGAGAACAAAAGCAGCAAGGGAAAGUUUGACUUGACUUCCUCUACAAUUUGUUUAUAUCAUCGGAGCGGAGAGAAUCUCUGGGCUGGGCUCUCCACUUCCUGAAUGAAGAGAGAGAGAAAAAAAUGCCCGUGUGUCAAAUUCAUUGAGAUGUGCAAAGUGAUCAGCAAAAAUCCGGAUCGACUGGAGCCCAAAAGGCAAAGGAAAAAUGUUCCUCAAUUCAGCUGCUAUCUGGCAAGAGAGCUGCACAGUCCUGGUGGCGAGUGUCACCAAAUACCUCCUCUUCCGCCACAGAAAGGACGGGCGGUGAGGGUGCAACCUCUACUGGCCUGUUGCUAUGGAGUCGGGCUAAUCCAAGAACAUGAUUCAGUCAAUCUAAUCCAAAGACAGAAGUGCUAGCAAUGGAAUAGCACUGAAAUUAUAAAUAUUUACUUGAAAAUAAUGCUCAAGCCAGACUUAACUGAAAGGGUAAGGUUCUGUUUACUUCUCUUGGUAGUAGCCAGCUGAAACAACCAAACCAGUUAAGCAACAUUUUUUUUUUUUUUUUGGUCAGGUAUGUUCUGAAUCACUGGCAGCAAACUUCUGGGAUUUUAGGAGAGAGGUUCUCUCUCUCUCUCUGCUCUGGGCAGAAUGCCUGUUUUUGUUUUGUUUAAGGGAAAAAACAACAACAGAACUUGAGGCUGGCUGAGCUUAUUAGAUUAUUGAUUAUCACUGUUAGUUUCCUGAUGCUUCUAUUGUUGGGGGUGGUAAGGGAGAUGAGGACAAGAAUCUAAAUGAUAAAUACCCAGGCUUCUCUCUUCUUCGUGAAAUCUCCCCUGUGAGGUUUUCCAGCUUGCCUUCCCAUAACUUGAUUCUGUUGAGGUCUGAGAAUAUUGAAACUGGUGGGUGAAAAGGGUUAAAAAUGCAGCUUAGCAGUGAAUGCAUUCGGCUUUAGCACUCUUACGGGAGGCUGUGAUUUCAUUGGCCUUGGAAUACCAGAGGGAAUUACAAAACAUUCAGAGAGAAGAGAUAGUGUGCAGAUAGAGUGGGAACAGAAUCGAGUGAUAAAGAGAACCAGGCUAAGGGCGGCUACUUUGCUCUGAAGGGUGGGUCGUUCUUGCUAAAGUCCGUUUCUUGGUGAAUUACGGUGGUAGCUCAGAGCUGGGUAAGAGGAGAAAAUGCCAUCCAAUAAGGGUGGAGGCAGUCUGAAAGAUGAAUAAUAUAACAUGCAGUGACUUCAAACUUCACGCUUUCUUACCGAAAGGUUUUCUUCCAGUUUGGAAGGCAAGUUUCAAUGGAUUCUCUUGUCUAAUCCCUGCUUCCUGCCAGGCUGCUCUGUUGG